GACGAACGCUGGCGGCGUGCUUAACACAUGCAAGUCGAACGGACAGGUCCUGCUUUUGCGGGGUGCUCGAGUGGCGAACGGGUGAGUAACACGUGAGUAACCUCCACUUGACUUUGGGAUAUCUUCAGGAAACUGGGGCUCAUACCGGAUAGGAUCUCUUGCUGCACGGUGGGGGAUGGAGAGUUUCGGCGGUUGUGGAUGGACUAGCGGCUUAUCAGCUUGUUGGUGGGGUAGUGGCUUACCAAGGCUAUGACGGGUAGCAGGCAUGCGAGGGUGACCGGCAACAUGGGGACUGAGGUAGGCCCCAGACUCCAACGGGAGGCAAUAGGGGGGAAUUUUGCAGAGUGGCGGGAAGCCUGAUGCGGCAACGCCCGGUGCGGAAUGCGGGCUUUCGGGUGGAAAACCGAUUUCGCCGGUGACGAGCCGUGAGUGACGGUAAUUGGUAAAGAAGCACCGGCUAACUACGUG
rnacentral:rRNA from 1 species